rnacentral:lncRNA from 1 species
GUUCACCAUGUGGCUGCUAGUGUUCAACAAUCACAUUUAAGUUCCAACCAGGAAGAAGGGGAAGGCAAAAAGCAAAAAGACCAUUUUCCCCAAAGCCUGCUUCUGCUACUUCUGCUUUUAGCUUCAUGACCACUGCCAUCUUCAGAGGAAAUUGAGAAAUGUCAUCUCUUAGCUGGGCAUAUUGCUCCUCCAAUAACAUUAGCAUUCUGUUACUAGAUCAAUAUCAAAAUGAGACUAAGCAAGGUGGUGGCCAGCAAAGGGUCUGCCUGAGGUCCUCCAGAGUUCUCUAGGGAAGAGAGCAACAAGAAACCCCAGGGGCGAGGUAAACCCAGAUGUUUUGACGGAUGCAGAAUGAUGGCAGAUAAGUAGUACAUUCUUCUCUCAGGAGAAUGAGGAGAGAUAAAAUUUGUUCUUUGUGGGAGACAGUGAGGUUUAAAUAUGUCAGUAUAUCCUGCCACUCUCCUGCUCUCAGCCUUGAAUAAUUUUCUAUCAUAAUGAGAAUAAAACCCUAAGCCCUUGUCCAAGGCUUCACAAAUCCUGCUGCUUCUCCACUAAUCCACCAUGUCUCCAUUUUGAGGCAUUGCACUGGCUCUUCCUUCCAUUCGGAGCCUCUUCCAUCAAAUAUUCAUUGGUUGAAUGAAUGAAUUGAUCUACAUGGGGGUGCUUCUGUACAUUUCAGGAAAAGAAGGAAAACAAACGCAUAAAUAAAAAUGGCCAAAGCUUUACACCCCUCCCCUAUCUUCUCCUAAGAAAUCGUUUUAGCUCAAGGCUCAGAGUCUUCAUGCGUUUUAUUUUUGGACUCUCUCUCUGUCUCUCAGACCAGUUUUAGGUUCACAGCAGAAUUGAGUGGCAGGUACAGAGAUUUCAUGUAUGCUCCCUGUCCCGGCACAUGCACAGCCUCCCACAUGAUCAAUAGGCCCCCGCCAGAGAGGUCCAGUUGUUAGGGUUGAUGAACCUGCACUGACACAUCAUUAUUACCGAGUGGCCAUAGUCUACAUUAGGGUUCGCUCUUGGUGUUGGACCUUCUGUGGUUUGGAUAAAUGCAGAAUGACACGUGGAUAACUCUUUGAUUACACGAGUUUUCCAGGUUUGUAGUAGGAAACCAAAAAAGUGAAGAUGAGUGUGAGGUGGCUUUGCAAGCAGUUUCUGCCUAAUGGGAUACAACUGUCAGGAAAGGAG